GGGGAUGUAGCUCAGUGGCAGAGCAUUUGACUGCAGAUCAAGAGGUCUCUGGUUCAAAUCCAGGCGUCUCCU